UUGAGCAAGAUGGAGAAGCAGGGCACGUGCAACACUAACUCUUGAACACAACACAAGGGGUGUGAACUCAGAGAAUUGUCACAUUCUUUUCUGCUAGAGAGAUCCUAUAUUUUCUGCAGCGAGUUAGUCCUUCAUGUGCCCCUCUUCCCCAUCAUGUCAAC
rnacentral:pre_miRNA from 2 species